UUUUGGAGAAUACUGAGUGACAGAUAUUGUAAACAUCCUACACUCUCAGCUGUGGAAAGUCAGAAAGCUGGGAGAAGGCUGUUUACUCUGUCUGCCUUGGAAAUCAGCUGAAAAGAAGA
ensembl:miRNA MIR30C2 microRNA 30c-2